AAAGCUUUAAGUUAAUUUAAACUAUUAGCCUUCAAAGUUAAAUAUAUAUAUAUUAUAAGCUUUA
rnacentral:tRNA from 1 species